GCACUUUUUGUUUUCCUCCCCACCUUAGCCCCGUGACCCCCAGCACACCAGGGAGCCCGCCAGUGAGUCCUGGGCCUUUGUCACCAGGGGGGACGCCAGGGAAGCACGUCUGUGGCCAUCAUCUGCAUACGGUGGGCGGUGUUGUCGAGAGGGAUGUGUGUCAUCGGUGUAGGCACAAGCGGUGGCACUUUAUAAAGCCCACUAACAAGUCCAGAGAGAGCAGACCACGGCGCCAAGGUGAGGUCACGGUCCUUUCUGUUGGCAGGUUUAGAGUUACAAAAGUGGAGCACAAGUCAAACCAGAAGGAACGGAGAAGCCUGAUGUCUGUUAGUGGGGCUGAAACCGUCAAUGGGGAGGUGCCGGCAACACCUGUGAAGAGAGAACGCAGUGGCACAGAGUAGCAGCAAUGACUUGACUUGAAGAGCUCUAAGAGACUGAAAACUUAUAUGAAGUUGCCUUGGGAAUAUUUUUAUAUAUUUUAUACAGUUUCUAUCAUGGAGUCAGCAGGCACGUGGAGAAAACCUAAAAGGGAAUAUUAUUGCUGCGCCGUAUACAGAAUUCAGUUUGCUUUGAAACAAGUUUUGGUUGAAAGAGUCUGUUGAAAAUUUUAUUAUACUUCCAGGGAAGGAAAGAGCUGUUUUUAUCUUCUUAACCACUCCCAGCCUCUACUCUUCCCAGCCCCUAAUCCCAGGCCUUGGUGUACACACUGUAGUUUUUCCAUUAUGAUGAGUAUGUGCAGUGAUACUAUUCAUGUACAGUCUGAGCUUAUGCUCAGGGGUGUGUGUGUAUAUGUGUAUACAUGUGUGCACGUGAGUGUGUGUUUCUUUUUCCAGUUCCUGCAUCCUAUUUUGACACUGGUUGUAAGAAGAUCUUGAUACAUACAGGUUAGCUGUUACAAAAGAUAAAAGAUGAAUCUUCAGUGGUAAAAGCUCAGUGGAAAUAAUCUAGUUUAGCCCUGAGGAGUUGAUUCCCCAAGGGACCAUGGAGUCAGAUGGGACCAGAUGCUAGACUUUGGAUUCCUUGACCACAACUUCAGCAUUAACUCCUGCCACCACCAUGUCAC
rnacentral:lncRNA from 1 species